rnacentral:rRNA from 1 species
UACGGGGGGGGCAAGCGUUGUUCGGAAUUACUGGGCGUAAAGGGCUCGUAGGUGGCCAACUAAGUCAGACGUGAAAUCCCCGGGCUCAACCCGGGAACUGCGUCCGAUACUGGAAGGCUUGAAUCCGGGAGAGGGAUGCGGAAUUCCAGGUGUAGCGGUGAAAUGCGUAGAUAUCUGGAGGAACACCGGUGGCGAAGGCGGCAUCCUGGACCGGUAUUGACGCUGAGGUGCGAAAGCGUGGGGAGCAAACAGG